UUUGUCCAAUCCGCUCCGCGUGCUCGCACCGUACCCAAUCCCAUCCUCUCCCCUGGUCGUCCCGAUCCACACCAGCCGCCGCACAACCCUAGCCCCUUUCCCCUUGAUCCCCACAGCCCCUCCCUCCUCCUCGCUCUCCGCCAUGGCCUCUGCACUAGGAGCCUCUCCAUGGCCUCCUACCCAUCCCCCCCACCACCAUAGGUGCACACAGAUGGUCGAUCCGUGCCGGAGAAGAGCAGCUCCAGUUAUGGUGGGGUGCAUCUGUGCCGAAGAUGAAGGAGGUCCGCCGCCCGUCUUUGCCUCCUCGCUGCGUCCUUGUUGCUCCUCCUCCUCUCUCUCUCCGCACCUAGCAGUGCAGCAGCCGGGACAAGGGGAAGGAGCAGCCCGACCCGGCUCCAUCUCUCUCCUUCAUGCAGGAGAACUGGAUGAGCAGGUGGCGAGGGAAGCCGCCACGGCUAGCGGCGGCGCUGCACAGGAACGUCCACCUCCAGGGACCAGAUCUUGGCUAUGAUAUAUGCUGCUGAUUUGGCUAUCAACUGCUAAAUCUACGAAUCAUUCAAAAUGUUUUGCCUAACUGCACAAGCCUUGCAUAUGACCACUGGGCCAUGUCUUUUGAUUUUACUACUGCUAUGGACAAAAGAAGGCUAAAGCUGGGACAGACAACAAUGUCAGGAGCCAACCGAGAAUUUUACUACUGCUAUGGACAAAAGAAGGCUAAAGCUGGGAAAGACAACAAUGUCAGGAGCCAACCGAGGAUUUUACUACUGCUAUGGACAAAAGAAGGCUCAAGCUAGGAAAGACAACAAUGUCAGGAGCCAACCGAGAUCCGAAAUGCCGAGAAGCAGGGUUUAUUUUCUCUCAUCACCAUAACAAAGGGGAGACUCCAGGGAGAGAGAGGAAAGCUGUGCAAGUGCCCCUGGAAGCGAGGCAGCUCGGCGGCGUCGUGGAAGAGGAGCUACGCUUCCAUGGAGUAGAGCGACGAGGGGCUCCGGUGUCGCUGCAGAGGAGGGAGGAGAUCCGCCGCCACUGCACCUGACAAUUCGACAGGAACCUCUCUGGAUGAUUCUGUCCUUAUCUCUGCUCAUGGUGCAAUGGAAGUAUACUACAAGAUAGCUUCUCUGCAUUGUUGUUUGAUUAGUAACAAGUAUACAGCAUCCCAUGUCUGAAACGUUGUUUGAUUUAGUAACAAGUAACAAAUCAGAGAGGGCAUGAAACCUGCACAUUUUCUGCUUCGCUGCAAUUUUUGUUUAUGAUGGUCAUGCCAUGAUGACUACUCCCUCUGUUCCCAAAUAUUUGUCUUUCAAAAGAUUUCAACAAAUGACUACAUACGAAGCAAAAUGAGUGAAUCUACACUUUAAAAUUUGUCUAUAUACAUCCAUAUGUUGUAGUCCAUUUAAAUGUCGAGAAAGACAAAUAUUUGGGAACGGAGGGAGUAGUAGUUUCAGUUUAUUGAGUAUUGUGCACAUGAAACCCAAUCCUGUAUAUGUACUGGUGGCAGUAUGCAUUUCAAUUUACAGAGAUUCCAAUGCUUCCUUUUUUUGUAUCCGUGUUUGUCCUCUUGCAUUGUUUAAUAAGCAGAUCGGUCCACCACUAAUUAUACAUGUUGUUUUGAAUUUUGGCAGAAUUCGGGUGUUAUGCAUUUUUGAAAGUGUUGUGCAAUGGCAGAAAUUGGCAAGAGGAUACCUCAAGUUGGUAUGAGGUUCAUAGAUUCGGAUGAGGCUUGGGUGUUUUGGGUAGAAUAUGGUGAGGAAAAGAUGCAAGUUUGAUGGAAAAGCGACUUCACACAGAUUUGUGUGUUCCAAUGAGGGCAUUAGAAGGAAAGCGCAAACUGAUCGUGAGCCAAAGCGCAAUCCCUGUAUAUGUACUUAUUUUAUUUUAGCCUAUCUCUGCUCAUGUGUGCAUCUCGUUCACUCUUUGGAUUAAACUAUAGCCAAGUGUACAACUAUACUUGCCUAAUAUAUCCAGUGUUCAGUGUCAAAAUUGUCCAGUUUGAAAAGGUUCCAUUACUUUACUGGCAUUGUUUCUUCUGUAUUCACUAAUCCUGCAAGUGUAGGCUGAGAACUAUACAAUUUGGACAGGUUCCAGUGUUGUGUUGCUGCCGUACAUGCCCAGUGCAGUUUUUGGAUUUCCACUGAGUGAUAGCUUUGUUUUGGUCUUCCAUAUAUCUGUGUUCUUAUUAUCAAGUCUCCACACAUGUCUUGUGCCCCCACAGGAAAUAGCAUUCUUUGACGUGACUAGAACAGGAAAGCUCUUAAGCAGGCUUUCUGAAGAUACCCAAAUUAUAAAGAAUGCCGCUACAACAAACCUUUCAGAAGCACUGCGUAAUCUGACUACCACAUCUAUUGGUCUUGGCUUUAUGUUUUCAACUUCAUGGAAGCUAACAUGUAAGUACCAGUUCCACAUGCCUGUGCUCUACAGAUUAAGAACUUUGUUGCAUCUCAUUUUGCUGACUGUGUGGCAUCUACCCGUGCAUCAAUAAAAUGAGACCAUGCUUGCAUGUGUUGUGUCUUCUGCACAUCACAGUAAAAUCUUUUGGUUCCCCAAAUGGUUUAAAAAAGAUGUUGACCUGUGACAGUUUCUUGUGUUUUUAUUAAGCCAAAUGUGGGCUGUGAAAUAUGUAAUUUGGAAUAUCUUGAUGCUUUGCUGCUGUUGUCAUUAUGUACUAGCAUUAACAUUUGUGAAAAUGGGCAAUCUGAAGAGGUUUUGAGUGCCAUGUCGGCCCUGUUUCUAUGCUUGUGUAGUUGUGCUUUUGCCAAGUCUGCAGGUGUGGGCUGUUUUGCUUUGGGCAAAUCUCAUGCAUUGGAUCUGCAUUGGACGGCAGAUGAGAGGGGGCCAGUUACAAUGUGACUUGCUAGAGGCAAGUCACUGGAUCUCAGUCCGCUAGGCGAUGUGUGGUAGGAGUUGUACUCACAGGAAGACUAUUGUGCUGUGUAUAAACCACGUUCUAUGAUUCACUUCUGUUAUGCAUAUUUACUUUCCAGUUUUAGGACUGAAAUCCAUCCAUUGUGAUGAAUUUGGUUGUAUGGGCAUUACCUAUUUGACUUACGCUUGCUUCAUCACAUAUAAACUGCUUUUCUUUUCCCCACUGAUUGUAUGACCUAAAACUAUCAUGUAUAUGAGCCAAGUUAUUAGCAAUGUUUCACAUUUUCUUA